rnacentral:rRNA from 1 species
GACGUAGGGCGCGAGCGUUGUCCGGAUUUAUUGGGCGUAAAGAGCUCGUAGGCGGUGUGUCGCGUCGGCCGUGAAAACCUGCAGCUUAACUGUGGGCGUGCGGUCGAUACGGGCAUCACUGGAGUUCGGCAGGGGAGACUGGAAUUCCUGGUGUAGCGGUGAAAUGCGCAGAUAUCAGGAGGAACACCGGUGGCGAAGGCGGGUCUCUGGGCCGAAACUGACGCUGAGGAGCGAAAGCGUGGGGAGCGAACAGG